AAUCUUGGACAAUGGGCGCAAGCCUGAUCCAGCCAUGCCGCGUGAGUGAUGAAGGCCUUAGGGUCGUAAAGCUCUUUCGCCAGAGAUGAUAAUGACAGUAUCUGGUAAAGAAACCCCGGCUAACUCCGUGCCUGCAGCCGCGGUAAUACGGAGGGGGUUAGCGUUGUUCGGAAUUACUGGGCGUAAAGCGCACGUAGGCGGAUCAGAAAGUAUAGGGUGAAAUCCCAGGGCUCAACCCUGGAACUGCCUUAUAAACUCCUGGUCUUGAGUUCGAGAGAGGUGAGUGGAAUUCCGAGUGUAGAGGUGAAAUUCGUAGAUAUUCGGAGGAACACCAGUGGCGAAGGCGGCUCACUGGCUCGAUACUGACGCUGAGGUGCGAAAGUGUGGGGAGCAAACAGGAUUAGAUACCCUGGUAGUCCACACCGUA
rnacentral:rRNA from 1 species